GGUCUCUGGACAGCUGGCCUCACUUUCUCUUUCAAGUGCAGAUGGCUGGGGGUCCCUGCAAGGGGACCGUGGGUCCCAGCGUGGGCACUACUGUACCUGCCCUGUGCCAGGUGGCCACCACACGCCCCAUCCUCUGCAGGAGGAUGGCAGUGGUCCGAAAGAGGGCACCUCCGUCUGAGCCUCCGUGGAGAGAAGUUACUGUUCCUCUUACCAAAAUGCCUUACACAUUCCUCACAAAUAAACCAACGACACAGAGUUCCCAGGCCCAACUUCUAGAGGCUCCAAGAGAAGCCAUUGGAGACGAUCAUCUUCCAGACGCCGCUGCACAAGAACCUGUCACAUUUGGAAAACACUAUUCCCAGAGUGGCCCAGCAGCCUCCACAGAUGCCAGAGUGCCUGUGACCUGACACAUGGGCCUGGGUGCCCGGGGAGGCCGGGAUGUGGGUGCCACCGCCAGCCAGUGCAAUUGUCGAGUUUCUCCUCAGUGGGGUGGGGGUGGGACAAGGCCAGAUGGGGGUGGGGAGUUCGGGGACCCUUGGAAGCCAGAGCCCAGCCCCUCAAGGCCACAGCCCCUCCCCCUGAGUCACCACAUGGAACUGUGUGUGACCUCCCUGGAUGUUGAUGCCAUUAAACCAACGUGUUGCCCGGCGCUGAGUCUCAUGUCUCCUGCUGGGGGCUGCCUAGCAUAGCGCAGGUCUGGGUUUCUCAGCAGGUAGAGGGCCUGAGGCAUCCUGAUGCCCAAGCAUCUGUUACUUAGCAGGCUCCGGUAUCCACCAGGCAGUGGAAGCAGGACCUGUGACACUGAGCCCUGACUCAGGUCCUGCAGCAGAGCUGGGGUGGCCCAGGUGGUGGAAGGCAGGGAACUCUGGGAGAACAAGGGUCACUAUCCUAUGCCCAGGAUUAGUGAGACCCAGGGCCGGGUCUCCUAUUCCACCUCACUGGCAAAAGCCAGCUCAGACUUUGCGACGUGGGACCGAGAGUUCUUGGUGGCUUGAGACAGUGUGGUCCACGGAGACAUUGGCCCUGAGGUGGUGCUGCUUCUCCAAGUGACAGCCCAGAAGAGAUUGGAACAGCUGCAGGACACAGUGCCUCGUGUCCAGCAGGCGGUGCCCAGGAGCUGCUUGAGCAAAUGUUGGUCCACAUCCCUAUCCAGACUCUAGGUGUUGGGCAGUUUGAUAGGCCAUACUAGGCUGGGGGUAGCUGGCACCUAGGUGGCAGCUCCUGGAAGAUAGCAGCCUAAGGGGCAGCUGGGC
rnacentral:lncRNA from 1 species